rnacentral:lncRNA from 1 species
CGAGAUCGGUGAGGGGCAAAAACGCAUCAGAGAAGGGCAACGUGAAAUAAGACAAAAGUUUGAAGAGAUAGGAUCUGAAUGCCGCAGGCUCAAAGAGGAGACGAUCAACAUUGCCAAGCAGAGUGAUUACAACCAAGUCAGGAUCAACCUGAUGUUUAGCAUCUUGAAAGCCCGUGAGGACAACAACAUUGCCCAUGCUGAUCACCUUACUGGGCUCCUCCGGUUGGUUAUAUUCCCUUCGCCAUUUCUUUUCUUAAUUCUUGAGAUAUCAGAUUUCAUAAUUAAUCUUGCUAAUGCUAGCUAUCGAGGGAAACACAAGUUAACGAACUCAAAAUAAAAGAAUCAAAAUGCACUGUUGAUAAUUAAUAUUCUCUCCAUCAUUGUGUUUUCUAUUCGUUGUGUUGCCAGCAAGGAAAUGGAAAAGCAGGAACUAGGAAAGGCAGACCUGGUUGGCUGACUAAUGAUCAUGGAAAACAACGAGCAAUUAGCCUUUGCAGUCACUCCUGAUCGUCUUUUCUUAUUAAAAUGAAAUCAUCAGUCCUAAAUCUAGAUAUGUAUUGGCAUUAGUCUUCCCUUAAUAUCCUGCUUCCUUGGAUGGAGUUUCCGUUUGAUAAAGGAUUUGCGUUCUCUGUUCCGAGUUGAAUGUUUUGAGUUAUAGUACAUACUAUGUGAAUUGCCGGGCGAUGCCGCCGGUUGUUAUAUAAACGGUAGAAGCAUUCGGAUGGGUAUAACCUGAGGUAAUCGAAGAAGAAGAUAGGCAGACAGAAUUGAAGAAAAUGAAAAGAAUACCUAAAGCAUGGAGGUUAAACAAUGCAACCACAUGCUUCCUGUUAGAGAAACUUAAAGUCUUAACUAGCCUGUUUGGCUUUGCAUUAUUCGGUUGUUUUUUUAUUCUGUUUAUUAAAAUUUAUUUUUGAUAUUAAUUUAUUAAUUAAAAAAUCACUUUUUUACCAAAAAAAAAAAAAAAACAGUGUUGCUUCAAUAACAAACAUCUCAAAAAUUCUCGAAUACAUGUGUAUAACAAAUUAUAAUUAAUCUAAAGGGUUUAAUUCAACUGAUUAAAUUUUAAGUUUAUUUUUUUUAAAUUAUUAAUUUGAGUAUUAUGAAUUUUAUAAUCACUGAAAACUAAUCUAAUUAUUAAUUUUAAAAUUAAAAUUUUAAAAGAUUAGUUAAAAUAUAUAUAAAGCAACUGAAUAUCUACAAUUAUAUAUAUAUUAAAAGAAAAGAAAAAAAAAGCUCCAGGCUUUUUGACCGUGCAUUCUCAUUUCACUUUGAAUUCCAUUGAAAUUGUUAUUUUCUUUUGGAAAAAAAACUUGUUUAACUUUGUCUCAUGUGUAGAAAGGUGUUUUCAAUGGGAUUUAUUAAUUAUUAUUAUUUUUAAUAGGGACAAGUUAGUUUGUUUGCGUUUUAAAUAAACAGUGUAAUGAUUUAAACACAUUUAAAAGUAAGAAAAAUUAAAACUAGAAAGAACAGUUUUAUGGUAUUUUUGUAAUUUCAUUAAAUACAUAGUAAAAAUAUCAUAUUCCCCUCAAAAUAAAAAAUUGAUGGCACUUACAUCUUUUCAGAACGGUUAUUUUGUAAUUAUAUAUUUGAAUAAAGGGCAAUUAAAUCUUUAACCAUACACAAAUAUAUAUAUAUAUAUAAAAGAUUUUAAAAAAUGGUUGAUAUAUGCCGCAUACAUAUUAGCAAAUGAAAGUCGCUCAUGCUUUUUAGGUGAUGUGUGGUGGUAUGUGCCUCCUCUAUCUAUGGUUAAAAGUUUGUGUUAACGAUGAUGUUUGAAAUGAUGGGUAAUCUUCUUCAUGGUGGUGGGACGCUUGUUCACAAAUAAGGUGCAGUUGAGCUACUAUGAACACUUUUCUUUUUCUAUCUCUUUUCUUUCUCUUAGUUUAGAAAUUGACACUAAUUUUUUUUAAAUCUAUUAUGUCUUUCAAUUUAUGUUUCUAUUAAUUUUUAUUCUUAUUUUUUUUAUUUUCAUUUGUUUUUGCUUUCAAUACAUUUUGAUCUUUAAUUGUUUUGCAAUUUCAUCAUUAAAAAUUUUAUAUCAUUUAAUUUUUUUUAAUCAAACUUAAUCCUUAUUUUUUUAUUGCUAUUUUUUGUUUUUAUCCUUUUCUAGAUUGUUUUUUCAAUUUUACCUCUCAUUGUUAAUUUAAUUUUAUUUUUGUAUUCAAUUUUAAUCCUUAUUUUUUUAUUGCUAUUUUUUUUUAUCAUUUUCUUAAUUGUUUUUAAUUUUUAAUUUAGUCCCUCAUUUUUUUUCAUUUAGCUUUUAUGCUAGAUUUAGUCAUUGUUGUUUUGAUUACUAUUUAUUUUGGUUUUUAAUUUUGGAUAAUUAUGAAUUUUGCUUAGUGAUUUUUUAUUGUUUGCCUUUUACGAGGCAAUCUCAAUCUUUUGAACCGGGUCAUUAUUUUCGAGGAUUAACCUGAUUUAACUUUGGUCUUUUAUGCUUUUUUAAAAAAACAAAAUGAUUAUUUUUCAAUUUCAUCAUUUGACUUUAGGUUAUUAGGUAUAUAUGUUUUUUUUUGUUUUCCUUUAUGUUGUGUUAUUUCGGUAUUAAAUCUUAGGUUAGAGGUUUGUCGGGUUAACUUAGGUUUAUUCAGGAUUUUUUUCAAAAUUUUUUUAAUUUAGAUUUUUUUGAUUUAGUCCUUCAACAUUAAAUUAUUGAGUUUUGAAAUUUAUGUUUUUUUUUCAUUUUUUUUCAUGAGUUUAACAUGAUCUCAAAUCCCAAGUCUUAAAAAAAAAAUUCUUAUGUUUCUUAAAAUCAAUUUUUUAAUUUCAACAUUUAAAGUUAUGUUAUUAAAUAUUAAACUUUGAGAUAUUUUCUAUUUUUUUUUAUUGUAGAUUAUCCCAGAUAGUGGGUUAGGCAAAUUAACUAAAUUUUUUUAAUAUUUUUUUAUUUCACCUUGAUCUUUUAUUCGAGAUCAUUGUUUUUUUUUAAAUUAAUGGCAUGGUAGUUCAACUAAUCUGAGUUAAGUUAAAGUUUAUUUCAAUGUUUUUAUUUUAAUUUUACCAGUCUUGUAGCUUAAAAUUAAAAGUUAUAUUAUAAUUGUGAAGGGUAAAUUAAAUAGUCAAAUCUUAAAUUUACUUUUUAAUAAUUAUAAAUUUUAAUUUUAAUUUUAAAUUACAUAAAAUCAAUCGAGUUGCACGGCCCGGAUAUCCAAAGUGGUGUCAUAUGAAAUGUGUAGGACAUGUGUAGGUCGGCUAAUGGUGGCUAUAAAUAGCUAUGCCUGUGAAGCUAUGGAGGUGUGCUAGUGGAGACAAAAACACCUAUGCAGGAAAGAGUGCCGUAUGUUCUCGUAGUUUUAAAAAGAAUCAGAAUCAGAUACAUAGUUGAGAAAAUUAAUAUUUUAAAGUUGUUUUUGGUGGUAAACAUGAUAUUUUAAUUUUCUUUUUAAAUGGCUUCACAAUUUACGAUGAUGAAAGAAUAAAAUAAAGACUUUAAUUAGGUUAUCACCUGUAUCUUUUAAAAAAAAAAGACUUACAAAAUAAAUCCAACAAAAUUAAAACAAAAAAAAUGAUUAUAAAUCUCUAAUUACAAUAUUAUUAGUAUCAUAAUUUUUUUUUAACGAGAUAAAUUAAACAAUAACAAUAAAAAUGACCAAUAAUAAUUUGAGUGGGUUACACGCAAUACAUGGUUUACUUUUUUUUUUAGUGUCCAUUAAUUCAUUUUGUCAAAAUUUGUUUUAUUAACAUGAUGAUGCUAUAAUAAAAAAAUUCGAUGUAUCUCCAAAUUUUUUUGUUUUAUCUUUCCUUACUGUAAUUCUUGCAAUAGAUUUAACAAUUUUUUUUUUAAGUUAUUUUUUUUAUUAAUGAUAACUGUAAAUAUCUUGUUUUUCAAUCGCAACAUGUAUUAACUGUGCUAUUUUAUCAAUUAUUUUUCAAGCUAAGUUAUUUUAUUAUUUUUUAAAAAAUAUCUUUUUAUGUUUUUCCAAUCACGACAUGUAUUUUAUUUUUUCAAAAUGUGUUAUUUUACUAUUGUUUUUAAAAAACCAUGCUGAUAAGAAAUAUACCCUAGAUAAAGGGAUUUAUUGAGCGUAUGUUUUUGCAUUAUAAUCUGUUUUUUAAAUUUUUUUUAUAAAAUAAUAUUAAAUUAUUGUUUUUAAAUAUUUUUGAAUGAUUUUAUAUGUUGAUAUAAAUAAUAAAUAAUUUUUUAAAAGUAUUUUUAAUUAAAAAAAUACUAUACAACAGAAUACCAUUUACACAAUUAAUUUAUAUCAUAAUUAAUGCUCGCAUCCGCCCAAUUCUCUGUGGACAAAUAAAAUCUAUUCUAUUAAUGCAUGUAAAGUUAAUGAAUACGGUUAAUCUGAUGAAGAGUGGGUACCCUAGGUUGGCUCGGUGGGACAAAUUGAAACAGAAAGUUGAGAAUGUUUCGUUGAUUUUAGACUCGGCAGAAGAGAGUUUUAGCUCUGGAAAACUGGGAUUUCCUCAAGUUUUAUGGAGAAAUCCCAGUUUUUGGUCAAUGCUCUAAUUAACAGACCUGAGAUUGCAUAGAGCUUAAAGCUUUUCUUGAGCAGAUGAUCACACGAAUAAAAACAGCAAGAUUAGGACUAAAAUUGUUAACCUAGCCUUCUUCGUGAGAAUGAUUUGCUUGAUUUUAUUUGCUUUGCUAGUUAUGUUAGCAACUCAAGUUUGGCUUUGACAAAUGAAGCAGAUGAAACUGUUUGGGCUUUAAGCUUUUCAUGACCACCCGGGAGAUUGAAUUCCUGGCUUCUCUUCUUCUGUUGGCUAUGCUACUAACAUGGUAGUAGAGCUUUCGACUGUCAGGCAUGGCGUCAGUAUCGCCAAAGAGAGGUCCCCCCCCUGAAAUGAAAUUGUUACGAUGAAGAGUCACCAUAAUAUUUUUCAAUUCUAAAGAGAGUAAUAUAUAAUUAAAAUUUUGACUUAGGUUAUUAGGUAUAGAUUUUUUUUUUUUAAUGUGGUGUUAUUCCAGUGUUAUAUAUGAGGUUGAGGUUUUUUCAAGUUAACUUCUGUUUAUUCAGAGUUUUUUCUUAUAAUUUUUAUAAUUUAGAUUUUUUUGAUUUAGUCCUUUAAUAUAACUUUAAAAUUUUUAUUUUUUUAUAUUUUUUUGAGCUUAACAUGAUUUCAAAUCUUGAGUCUUAAAUUUUUUUUUUCUUUUUUAAAAUUGAUUUUUUAUUUUAUUAUUUAAAGUUAUGUUAUUAGAGAUUGAACUUUGUGAUAUUUUUUAUUUUUUUAUUAUAAAUUAUCAGUUGGUGAAUAGUGAGUUAUUUAAAUUAACUUGAGCUAACUAAAUUUUUUUAAUAAUUUUUAUUUUACCAUGAUCUUACUGUUAUUGUUUUUUUUAAAAAAAUAAAUUUUUUUAAUCUGGAACUCGGGUCGCAUGGGAGUCCAUCUAAUCUGAGUUAAGUUAAAGUUUUUUUCAAAGUUUUUUAAUUUUUUUUUUUUUAAUUUUACCAGUCGUACUGUGCAGCGUAAAACUAAAAGUUGUAUCAUAAGAAAUGUGGAGGACAUGUGUAGGUCGGCUAAUGCUUGCUAUAAACAGCUAUGUCUGUGAAGCUAUGCAGGUGUGUUAGUGGAGACAAAAACACUUAUGCAGAAAAGAGUGCCGUAUGUCCUGGUAGUUUCAAAAAGAAUCACAUUAAUAGUUGAGAAAUUUAAUAUUUUAAAGUUGUUUUUAUGGAAAACAUGAUGUUUCAAAAAAAAAAAAAAAUUGUUAAAUGGCUUCAUAAUUUACGAUGAUGAAGCAUAUCUACUUUUCUGGCGCUGCUCUUCGACAAUCAACGUUUUUCAAGGAAAACAUGGUGGAAUCUAGGGUUAAGAUUAAGAAAGAAGAUGCAAGGGAAGAUGAAGAUGAAGUACAACAAUCAGAUUAGCGAGAAGAACAAGCAUCAAAGUUCUGGAUGGAGAAUUAUCGUAUUGUAAUGAUCGAAGUUCCAGUUUUCCAGACUGCAACAGUAGAAAUGACAAGGACACCUGCUAGGCUGUUAAGAAGGCCAGUAAUCAGUCGUGAAUUGAGGGAAUUCAUGGAUAGUGGCAGCGAGAUUUACAAUGAAGCAUUUAGCAUGUUUUCUCUAUUGUAAUUCAAGUCGCGAGAGGUAAUAGAAUUGCACUUGUCUUGCCAGCAUUUAUAGAGAUAUGACUUUGUUGAAAGGGAAAAUCGCAGAGUCAACCUUGUUGGGGAUUCCAAAGGGAAAAUAUGAUGGUUUAACAGUUAAGCUUUGGUCAUCAAUGCAAUUAGUUCAGGUUGGGGUUUGGAAGAGGUUCGGUGAACUGCGGCGGCCGGAGCCUAAUCUGAUUAGGAGUGGGUACCCUAGGUUGGUUCGGUGUGGAACAAAUUGAAACAUGAAGUUGAGAAUUAAUGUUUCGUUGGUUCUAGACUCGGAUAAAGAGAGUUUUAGCUCUGGAAAACUGGGAUUUCCUCAAGUUUUAUGGAGAAAAAGAAAUGUGGGCGACUGUUGGUUCUAGUUUGAAUGACGAAUUAUGAUUUAAACACUUUUAAAAGUAAGAAAAAUUUAAAACUAGUAGGAAUAGUUUUAUGGUUUUUUUUUGUACUUUGAUUAAAUGCAUAGAAAAAAAAUCAUAUUGACCUUAAAAAAAAUAUAAUAAAACUUGUAUUUAGAGGCAUUUAGGUCUUUUAACAUGGUUAUUUGUAACUAUGUAUUUAGAUUAAAGGUAAUUAAGUCUUUAACCAUAUAAAAAAAACAAUUUUUAAAAAUGGUUGAUUUGUGUCACAGACACGUUAGCAAAUGGAAAACGCUCAUUCUCUUCGGGUGGUGUGUGCCUCCUCUACCGAUGGUUAAAAGUUUGUGUCAACGACGAUGUUUGAAAUAGUGGGUCAUCCUCUUUGCGCUGGUUCAUGAGAAGUGCGGUUGAGCUCCUUAUGAACAUUUUUUUUCCUAUUUUUUUUAUUUUUUUUAUUUUAGAAAUUGACGCCAACUCUUUUAAAAAUCUAUUGUGUCCUCCAGUUUGUGUUUAUAUUAAUUUUGAUUCUUAUUCUUUUGAUUUUCAUUUGUUUUUGCUUUUAAUGCAUUUUGAUCUUCAAUUGUUUUGCAAUUUCAUCUAUAAGAAUUUUAUUUCAUUUAAUUUUUAUAUCAAACUUGAUCCUUAUUUUUUUGUUUUUAUACUUUUCUAGAUUGUUUUUUCAAUUUUACCUCUCAUUAUUUUAUUUUAUUUUAUUUUUGUAUUCAAUUUUAAUCCUUAUUUUUUAUUGCUAUUUUUUAUAUUUUCUUAAUUUUUUCCAUUUUUAAUUUAGUCCCUCAUUGUUUUUUUUCAUUUAGCUUUUAUGUUAGAUUUAGUCAUUGUUGUUUUGAUUGCUAUUUAUUUUGGUUUUUAAUUUUGGAUGAUUAAGGAUUUUGCUUAGUGAUUUUUUAUUGUUUUUUUAUGAGGUAAUCUCGAUCUUAUGAACCGGGUCACUAUUUUCAAGGAUUAAUCCGAUUUAACUUUGAUCUUUUUAUCCUUUUUUAAAAAACAAAAUAAUUAUUUUUUAAUUUCAUCAUUUGACUUUAGGUUAUUAGGUCUAGAGUUUUAUUUUUUUUUUGCUUUUCUUUAUGUGGUGUUAUUCCAGUGUUAUAUCUUAGAUUGAGUUUUUUUUCGAGUUAACCCAGGUUUAUUUAGGUUUCUUUUCAAUUUAGUUUUUUCUAAUUUAGUCUUUCAACAUUAAGUUAUUGAGCCUUGAAAUUUAUGUUUUUUUAUGUAUUUUUUUCUAUGAGUUUAACAUGAUCUCAAAUCUUGAGUCUCAAAUUUUUUUUUUUGUUUUCUAUUUUUUUUAAAUCAAUUUUUUUAUUUCAUCAUUUGAAGUUAUUUUAUUAGACAUUCAACUUGUGAUAUUUUUUAUUUUUUUUAUUGUAAGUUAUUCUGGAUAAUGAGUUAGUAAAAUUAAUUUAAGUUAAUUAAAUUAUUUUAAUAUUUUUUUAUUUAACCGUCAUCUCGAGGUCGUUGUUUUUUUAAAAAAUUAAUUUUUUUAAUCUGAAACUCCCAUCACGGGUCGGAUGGUAGUCCAGCUAAUCUGAGUUAAAUUAAAGUUUUUUUCUUUCAAUGUUUUUGUUUUUAUUUUUUAAUUUUACCAGUCGUACUGUGUAGGACAUGUGUAGGUCGGCUAAUGCUGGCUAUAAAUAGCUAUGUCUGUGAAGCAAUGAAGGUGUGUUAGUGGAGACAAAAACACUUAUGCAGAAAAGAGUGCCGUAUGUUCUGGUAGUUCCAAAAAGAAUCACAUAAAUAGUUGAGAAAUUUAAUAUUUUAAAGUUGUUUUUAUGGAAAACAUGAUUUUCAAAAAAAAAAAAAAAAUUGUUAAAUGGCUUCACAAUUUACGAUGAUGAAGCAUAUCUACUUUUCUGGCGCUGCUCUUCGACAAUCAACGUUUUCCAAGGAAAAAUGGUGAAAUCUAGGGUUAAGAUUAAGAAAGAAGAUGGAAGGAAAGAUGAAGAUGAAGAUGAAGUACAACAAUCAGAUUAGCGAGAAGAACAAGCAUCAAAAUUCUGGAUGGAGAAAUUAAUAUCGUAUUGUAAUGAGAAGUUCCAGUUUUCCAGACUGCAACAGUAGAAAUGACAAGGACACCUGCUAGGCUGCUAGGAAGGCCAGUAAUCAUUCGUGAAUUGAGGAAAUUCAUGGAUAGUGGCAGCGAGAUUUAGCAUGAAGCAUUUAGCAUGUUUUCUCUAUUGUAAUUCAAGUCGCGAGAGGUAAUAGAAUUGCACUUGUCUUGCCAGAAUUUAUAGAGAUAUGGCGUUGUUGAAAGGGAAAAUCGCAGAGUCAACCUUGUUGGGGAUUCCAAAGGGAAAAUAUGAUGGUUUAACAGUUAAGCUUUGGUCAUCAAUGCAAUUAGUUCAGGUUGGGGUUUGGAAGAGGUUCGGUGAACUGCGGCGGCCGGAGCCUAAUCUGAUUAGGAGUGGGUACCCUAGGUUUAGUUCCGUGGAACAAAUUGAAACAUGAAGUUGAGAAUUAAUGGUUCGUUGGUUCUAGACUCGGAUAAAGAGAGUUUUAGCUCUGGAAAACUGGGAUUUCCUCAAGUUUUAUGGAGAAAAAGAAAUGUGGGCGACUGUUGGUUCUAGUUUGAAUGACGAUUUAAUGGCAUUUGCUCGACGCGUCAGGAUUUCAAUGCUGCGUGGAGUUGGCUGUUCAGAACUGUAUUUACCGCAUAGGGUUGCAAUGCAACUCGGAACUGACGAAGUCCUUUCAGGGUUGUGUUGGUCAAUGCUCUAAUUAACAGACCUGAGAUUGCAUAAAGCUUAAAGCUUUUGUUGAAGAGCUUAAGCAGAUGAUCACACGAAUAAAAGCAGCAAGAUUAAGACUAAAGUGUUAACCUAGCUAGCCUUCUUCGUGAGAAUGAUUUGCUUGAUUUUAUUUUAUUUGAAUUCAUGGCUUCUCUUCUACUGUUGGCUAUGCUACUAACAUGGUAGUAGGCAUUGCAGCAGGUUCCUAUAUGGAUAACUCCCACCAUUGACAACAGAUGCAAAACAAGGUUAAAAGGAUAAUAGAAUUACAUAUAUUCAUAUACUAACCAUGCACUAUAUAUGGCAUGAAGUUGUUAUCACAGUGUGCAGACAAAUGCCGUGUGCUGCUGGAACCAACGCAGAGUCUACUAGGCGUUAUCUGUGCUGCCCACCCAAUCCUGACUAGAUAAGCACUUGAGUUUUUUUUUUUUUUAUCCAGUUGAUUUGAAGUGUUGUUUUGAUAUAAAAUUUUUGGAAGGAAGAGAUAUUUUUCUUUAAUAUUAAUAUCAAUUUGAUAUUUGUAGUUUAACUCACUAAAUAUAUAAUUUGUGUUUUUAUUUAAUAAUUUUAUUUUUUAAAAAUAUCUUUUAUUUGUUUAUAUAAUAGUUUAAAUAAAAGCAAUAGAAACUAGUAGAAUUCAACAUUAAUUAAACAUCGUAAUGUUUGUGAUAACUUUAUAAAUAUCAAAUUCAAAUAAAUUAUGAUAACUAAUUAAAAUCAAUCAAAUGUUAAAAGAUUUUUUUAAUAUUAAAAUAAUAAUAUAUUAAAUCAACCUGAAUUUUACGGUUUAAUUUGUAAAACCCAUAACUUAAAUAAUAAACUCCACUUGAAAAAUAAUAAUAAAAAAAAACAUUAAGGUUAUUAGAUGAUCAAGCACAAACAACAAUAAUAAUUCAAGAUUUUUACUGAAAGUAGAAUCCAUUAUACAUGUUGUUGAUUAUUGAGUUAUAACCCGUCUGUAUAUGAAAAUGAAUGAAUUUAGCAUAGCUAUUAAACCCCGUCGACCUGGUGGCUCGACUAGUCUAGGUUUGUUAAAAGACCAGCCGAUGCAAUGACCCGGCAAAACUCGAUCGACCCAUGACCUGGACGAGAUCCGUGUUUUUUUUUUCAAAUGUGGUUUUUCUUCUAUACUCCUUUUUUUCAUAUUUUUUUAGUUGUUUAUUAACAUUUUUUAAAGUUCAAUAUUUAAAUAUUAGAAAAAUAUUUUAUUUUUUCAAUGUAGGAUUUGAAAUCCUUUAAUAUAUACUCUAUGUUCCCAAGAAAAAAGUUAUUUUUUCAAUGUGGGAUUUCAAGCCCUUUCAUAUAUAUACUUUACGUUCAUAAGAAAAAAGUUGUGUUUUCUCAAUGUGGGAUUUGAAACCCUUUAGUAUAUAUACUCUAUGUUCCCAAGAAAAAAAUUGUUUUUUCAAUAUGUGAUUUGAAGCCCUUUUGUAUAUAUAUAUACUCCAUAUUCACAAGAAAAAUGUUAUGUUUUUUCAAUGUGGGAUGACAAACUUUUUGAUUUAAAUACUUCAACUUAAAAGGAUAUAAUAUCUUUUCAAUGUGGGAUUUGAAACCCUUUAAUAUAUAUACUCCAUGUUUCCAAAAAAAAGUUAUUUUUUUAAUGUGAGAUUUGAAGUAUUUUUAUAUAUACACUCUAUCUUUACAAGAAAAAAGUUAUGUAUUUUUUAAUAUGGGAUUUAAAACCUUUUAUUAUAUAUACUUUAUGUUUCCAAGAAAAAAAUUACUUUUUAAAUGUGGAAUUUGAAGCCCUUUCAUAUAUAUACUUUAUGUUCAUAAGAAAAAAUUUAUGUUUUUCAUUGUUGGAUAAAGAACUUUUUGGUUUAAAUAUUUCAACUUAAAAGAAUAACAUAAUAUUUAUUUAAUGUGGGAUUUGCAGCUCUUUAAUAUAUAUACUAUAUGUUCGCAAGAAAUAAGUUAUUUUUUCAAUAUGAGAUAAAAAAAAGCUUUUUUGGUUUAAAUACUUCAACUUAAAAGGAUAAUUUAAUAUUUUUUCAAUGUGUGAUAAUUUUUUUUUAAAAAAAUAUUCUUUUAAACUUUAUUAUUUACAAUAUGUAUAACAUAUAUUCAUAUAGAUUGUUUCUUAAUUUUUUCAUAUAAAAUAUAAAAAAUUUUAAUUUUUUUUAAAAUUUUUCUUAGUUGACCUAAGUUAACCCGAAUUGACCGAUAAAAUCUAAAACCCGGUCACUUAACCAAGCCAACUAACAGGUCGGAUUUCAUAACUAUAUCAUUUAGUCCAAAUUAGCUACUAAAAAUAGUAACUGCUUUCUUUACUUUAUAUAUAUAUAUAUAUGUAUAUAUAUAUAUAUGUAUAUAUAUAUAUAUAUGUAUAUAGGCCCACGAGGAAUGGACUGGUCCAAAUAGUAACUGCGUUCUUUACUUUUAUAUAUAUAUAUAUGCCCACGAGGAAUGAACUGGUCCAGAUUUCUGGCGUUAUCGUGCGAUUACACGCGAGAAAUCUACCAAGCUCGAGCGGGCGGAAAACUUUUGAUACCAUCGUAGUUUGAUUACAGAUCUGAAUCCUCUGUAUAAAUUAACUGAUAUUGUGAAGAACCCUUGUCAUUGUAAACAUAACUUUUCAAAAUUAUAAAGCAUAUCUACUUUUCUGGCGCUGCUCUUCGCCAAUCAGCUUUUUUCAAGGAAAACAUGUUGAAAUCUAGGGUUAAGAUUAAAAAAGAAGAUGCAAGGGAAGAUGAAGAUGAAGAUGAAGUACAACAAUCAGAUUAGCGAGAAGAACAAGCAUCAAAAUUCUAGAUGGAGAAUUAUCGUAUUGUAAUGAGAAGUUCCAGUUUUCCAGACUGCAACUGUAGAAAUGACAAGGACACCUGCUAAGAAGGCCAGUAAUCUGUCGUGAAUGAGGAAAUUCAUGGAUAGUGGCAGCGAGAUUUAGCAUGAAGCAUUUAACUUGUUUUCUCUAUUGUAAUUCAUGUCGCUAGAGGUAAUAGAAUUGCACUUGCACCUGCUGACUGCUGUUCUUUCCAGCAUUUAUAGAUCGAGAUAUGACUUGGUUGAAAGGAAAAAUCGCAGAGUCAACCUUGUUUUUUUUUUUUUAGUAGUUAAAAUUUUAUUAAGAAAAAGGUUACAAAAAUAAUAGUCUAACUUACAUCAGAUGAACAAGCAAAGAAAACAAAAGCACAAAAACUGUUGUAUGAAAUAGGAUAGAGCAACAAAUGGGGGGAGCAAACAAAUCAUAAGAAACCAACUCCUCCCGACUAAACAUUCUCUAUAUUAAGCUCUAAAGAGUUGGAAUCAAGCCUCAGCCAUAAAGCAAUACUUUGGCGCACCAUGGAGAAACAGAUUUGAAGGUUAGGGGCAGCGUCAUUAAAAAUAACAUCAUUUCGGUGAAGCCAAAGAUUCCAAACAACGAAUGAGAAAAGAAGAUGCCAUGAGAGAUUCUGCUGCUUGUCUUUAACCAUAGAAGACCAUUGGUAGCACAUAUCAACAACAGAUUUUGGAAAAACAGUGCAAAAGCCCCGAUUAGAAAGCAGUUUCAUCCAUAUAUUCCAAGUGAAGUGGCAGUGAAUGAAGAGGUGACUUGAAGAUUCCAAGCUUUUAUUGCAGAAAGCGCAUCUUGACUCAUGAAGGGUGAUGUAGUCAUGCUGAAAUAGAAAAUCUCUUGUGGUUACUUUGUCUUGGACAAGGAGCCAAAGGAAAAGUUGCACUUUUGGUGGGGUUAGUUUUAUCCAAAUAGAAGAUUGGAAUGGUUUGGCACCACCGUAGAGCAGCUGGUCCAUCAUUUGGAGCAAGAUUUUACACUGAAGAGGUCAUCGCUGUUGAGGGUCUAGAUUUUCUUAUCCAUCUUGUGGCAGAACAUUGGCUUGGAUUCCAGCAAGGAUGAUAAAAAUGAUAGUUGUUCUUGUUCAAAAUGAAAUAGAGGUCUGCGCCAUUGUAGGGACCAGAGCCAGAUUCCAUUGCUCCAUCUACCCAUGUCAGCCACCAAAGCAGAUUUAGAGAAAGACAAAAGAUAUAGCUUAGGGAAGGCUGUUUUGAGAGGUAGUCACCAAUCCAGUUAUCUAGCCAAAAUGAUGUUAAACUACCAUUCUCCACCAUGAAUUUGCAAUGAUUCGUGAAGACGUGGUGAGCGUCGGUUUGAACAAUGGACAUAAUAUCCUUCCAGAUCUUGGAGGGUUGGUUGUAGAAAAUUAGGAUCCCAUUCUCAUAAGCUGGAUUGUACAUUGAAGAGAUAAUCAUUUUCCAUAAACUUGUACCUGGGGAAGAGAGUCUCCAAAUCCAUUUUAGCAGCAGGGCUCUGUUUUUUGAUAUAAGGGAGCUUACACCGAGGCCUCCUUAUUUCUUAUUGCGCAUCACUAGUCUCCAUUGGAUCUUGUAGAAAGAUCUUUGCUUGGUACAUCCAUACCACAAGAAAGGUCUUUGGAUGGAUGAAAGAAGCCUGCCUACCCCUUUUAGCAUCUUGAAUACAGACAUAAAAUAUAUAGACAGGGAAUUAAAGACACUUUUAAUGAGACAUGCUUAGUAAUCUUCCUUUUCACAUAUGAAGCCUUUUACGAAACUUCUCUAUCACUGGCUUCCAUGUAGAGAUACAAGAUGGAUUGGCUUCUAGUGGCAUGCCAAGAUAUUUUCUUGGGAGGGAGUCUGAUAUGCAGAAAAUAGAUUUAGCCAAGCGCAAGCACAAGUGAUCGUCGACAUUGAUACCAAUAAUAGAGCUUUUAUGGAAGUUUAUAUGAAGGCCUGAAGUCAGAGCAAACCAUCUUAAAAUUCUUUUGACUUGAACUAACUUAUCAAUAUCUGUCAGGAUGAAUAUUAACGUGUCAUCUGCAUAUUGUAGAUGGCUGAUGAAAAUUCCUGAUGCAAAUUACAGCCCUUUGAUAAUAUUCCUACUAGAUGCCCUUUGAAAGAGGACCGAGAGGCCCUCAGCAGCUAUGUCAAACAGAAAAGGGGAAAUCGGGUCUCUUUGACGCAGUCCUCGCCGAACAGGGAAUUCUUUUGAAGGAGAUCCAUUGAUGAGGACCGAGAGUUUUGAUGAAGAAAGACAUUCAUAAAUCAUGGUUCUCCAUUUUCUGCCAAACCCCAUAUAACCCAUGAUAUAAUCUAGGUAAUCCCAGGAGACUGAGUCGAAGGCUUUAUAGAAAUCAAUCUUGAAAAUCAGACCUGCCGCUUUUCGAUUUUUUAGAUCACUCACCAGCUCAUUUGCAAUCAUAAAGCCAUCUAUAAUGUUGCGAUCUGCUAUAAACGCUGAUUGGUUAAUGCUAAUGAUAUCUUGCAUAACAGCUUUCAGUCUGGAUGCAAGGAUUUUGGCAAUGAUCUUGUAGAUACCAUGAAUCAUGCUGAUGGGCUGAAAAUCUUUAAACUCUAUGGGUUCUACUGUCUUGGAGAGGAUAAUUACGUAGGUUGUAUUGAUUCCUUUGGGUAGCCUUCCUGUUCUAAAGAAGCUUAAGACUACAUCGAGGAUGUCUUGAGCAAUAAAAUCCCAUGCUAAUCUAUAGAAUUUGAAGUUGAAACCAUCUGGUCCAGGACAUUUUGACCCAUCACAACCCCAUACACUGCGCUUCACUUUUUCCAUUGUGAUUUCCUGCUCCAGCCACUCAGAGGAUUCUUUAGAGAGGCAUUUGAAACCCAAAAGAUUUAACUACAGCUUUUUUUCAAAGAGGGAGUCAUACAGAUCAGAGAAAUAAUCCACAGCAGCCUGCUUAAUACCCUGCUGAGAAUCAAAAGUGUUGCCAUUAUGGUGGAUUUUAAGGAUAGAUGAUUUAGCCUUCCUGAAAUUAGCAAUCACGUGAAAAAACUUGUUAUUUCUGUCACCCAAUUUGCACCAUAUCUGUCUUGAUUUCUGCCUCCAAAUAGAUUCAAUGUGAUUGUUGCGAACCUAAGGUCUUUCAACAAAAAGUCUAAAUGCUCCUGCUCUUGGUCGGUUAAACCUUCUUCUUCACAUUUUUCCUCUAGUAUGUUGAUAGCUAAAAAGGUUCGUUGAAGGGCAGCUUCUUGAUUUCCAAAUUCAAGCUUAUUCCAUUGCCUCAAUUUGACUGCAAUAUGAUUGAGCUUUUUGAGAACUUUAAAGCGGCCAGGGUGAAGGGAGCAUGCAUCAUUCCAGAAGUUUUCAAUAAUGUGCUUGAAAUUUGGGUACUGAGUCCAAGAGUCCAAGAAACAAAAAGGACGCCAUUCAUGGUCCUGCAAGAAGUUAGAUAGAAUUAAAGGGCAAUGAUCCGAGAACUCUCUUGGAAGUCAUCGAAGAGAUAAACUAGGGAAGUGAAGAUGGCAGGAUGAGUUUGCGAACAUACGGUCCAGUUUGCUCUUGGACCCUCCUCUGAACUAGGUAAAAUAACCUUCUGCUAAAGGGUAUUCAGUGAGCUCACAAGACUGCAGAAAUCUGCUAAAAGAAUUUGAGCCUGCAGGAUGACAGAUUCCACUAUUUCUGUCUUUCUGUGAGAGUGUUUCAUUAAAAUCUCCUGGUAUUAUCCAGGGAACUUCAAAAGCAUGCUUAAGAAGAAUGAGAUCAUCUCAAAGUUUUUGUCUGUCCUGAUAGUUACAAGGAGCAUAAAUGCCAAUAACAAAGCAAUGAAAAUCAUUAUGAACAUGUUUACCAUAUAAAUCGAUCCAACCAUGACCAUAUUCAAUAUUAGAGACUUCAAAGUUAGUGUUUUUCCACAUAGCAAGCAAACCUCAUUUUGAUCCCUGAGCAUCAUCACUAAACCAAGUCACAUGAUUUUCAUUCCAAAUACGAGAUACAAAGCCAAUGAAACAAUUAGCUAGCUUAGUUUCCAGCAAUAAACAUAUAUCAAUCUUAUAUUCUGUUAUUAAUUUCGUGAUUCUUCUUCGUUUCCUCAUCAUGCCCAAGCCACAAGAAUUCCAAGAAAGAAUAUUCAUGACAAAAUUAAAAGAUCUAUCUGCAAGGACAUGAAUGAAAACUUACUAUUCAUUGUUGUUUCUGCCAAUUUUCCCUCUUCUUUUCUAGCUGCCUUAUGAUAAGCCCAUAAAAUUUUUUCAAGAGAGCUGAAUUACCAAGAUCCAGAGCUUUUCCCAAAUGGAUCAUUUUGUUGACUUCAUUGUGAGACGACUCCGCUGCAGAUUCCUUCAGGUUACAAGUAUUAUUUACCCUGAUAUAAGAGUCUAUAGAAGAUAUGCUUGCUAAAGAGUGCAGGGAGAUGAGACUCCCGGUAGAGGAUAUUUUCUUUAGUCUUGGUUGUUUGGUUGUUGUGGUCCAGUGUUGGUUGGGUGUAAGAGGCAGGUUUUGAGCUUUGCAGUGGGAUUCUAAAGAUUUAUCAUUGCUGACAGGGGUAUAAGGUUGUGGCGAGAAAGAGUCUCUUUUGAAGGCCAAGCUUUAAUGCUCCAGUGGCCUUGCUGAAUUCACAUCGUAUAAGACAAGGCCCGUUCUGCUUGGAGUUGAUUUUGGGAAAGCUUGUUGGUAGAGAAACAGUGGUGGGGAGUCCUAGUAGCCGCUAUUUCUGGAAAGAGAUCUUCAACAACCAUAUGUAGCUGUUAUGUGUUGUCAAUGACAUUUAUUGUGGCCGGAAAGCUAUGAUCGUAGACCUCAUAUGUCCUAUGUGGGUUGUGCUUUCUUGCCUCCAGCGUGUGUGCCUUGUCAUCAGCUUCAAAAUUCUUAUCAGCAAUAGCCAGCCUGCAAAUGUUGUCAUCUCCUGCCAAGUCAAAAGCCAGAUCAGUGUACACUUCAUCAUCUGAGUCACUGUCAGCAUCUUCUCCCUGAAGUAAUGUGGUUUGAAAUUCUGUCAUAGAGUAUGAAAUUCCUUUUGCCUCUGGAUAUCUUAAAGGGUCAAUCUCAUCUAGCUGUAUGUGUACUAACUUGGAGUUUAGCAUGAGAUCUAUAGAGUCGUGGAUCUCCGGCAAGUGAGUACCUAUAAGGAUUUUCACGCUGUGAAGUUCAGAGUUUAGCAUGAGAUCUAUAGAGUCGGGGAUUUCCGACCGCUGCAGAGUCAACCUUGUUGGGGAUUCCAAAGGGAAAAUAUGAUGGUUUAACAGUUAAGAUUUGGUCAUCAAUGCAAUUAGUUGAGGUUCGGGUUUGGAAGAGGUUAAAAAAACUGCAGCGGCCGGAGCCUAAUCUGAUGAAGAGUGGGUACCCUAGGUUGGUUCAGUGGAACAAAUUGAAACUGGAAGUUUAGAAUAUUUCCUUGGUUCUAGACUCUGAAAAAGAGAGUUUUAGCUCUGGAAAACUGGGAUUUCCUCAAGUUUUGUGGAGAAAAAGAAAUGUAGGAGACUGUUGGUUCUAGUUUGAAUGACGAUUUAAUGGCAUUUGCUCGACGCGUCAGGAUUUCAAUGCUGCGUGGAGUUGGCUUUUCAUAACAGUAUUGACCGCAUAGGGUUGCAAUGCAAUUCGGAACUGACGAAGAUCUUUCAGGGUUGUGUUGGUGAAUGCUCUAAUUUACAGACCUGAGAUUGCAUAGAGCUUCAAGCUUUUGUUGAAGAGCUUGAGCAGAUGAUCACACGAAUAAAAGCAGCAAGAUUAAGACUAAAAUUGUUAACCUAGCUAGUCUUCUUAGUGAGAAUGAUUUGCUUGAUUUUUUUUGCUUUGGUAGUUAUGUUAGCAACUCAAGUUUGGUUUUGAAAAAUGAAGCAGAUGAAAGUACUGUUUGGGCUUUAAGCUUUUCAUGACCACCCGGGAGAUUGAAUUUUUUUUUUAAUAGUAAACAGUGAAUUAUAUAUUUAACAGCUCCAUUAAGUAGGUGGAACUGAACGAAAAAUAAAAUACAAUGAAAAUAUAAAAGAAUAGAGAAGACCAAAGCGACGACGAACCUAACAUGGGAGAUUGAAUUCCUGGCUUCUCUUCUUCUGUUGGCUAUGCUACUAACAUGGUAGUAGAGCUUUGGACUGUCAGGCAUGGCGUCAGUAUCGCCAAAGAGAGCUUUAUGGUCUUUUUGUACUUUGAUUGAAGGCUUAGUUAAAGGACUAUAUUGCCCUUCAAAUAAAAAAUGAUAGAGCUUGUGUUUAGGGGCGCUUAGGUCUUUUCAACACGGUUAUUUUGUAAUUAUGUAUUUAGAUGAGGGGUAAUUAAGUCUUUGACCAUAUAUAGAAAAAAGAUUAAAAAAAUGGUUGAUGUGUGUCACGUACACAUUAGCAAGACGAAGGCGUCCACGCUCUUUCGGUGAUGUGUGUCGCCCCUCUUGGUGGUUAAAAGACUUCGUCAAUGAUGAUAUUUGAAACGGUAUUGGCGAGAUAAAUCAAAUAAUAACAAUAAAGGUGAUCAACAAUUAUUGAAGUUUUCACACGCGAUGAGUGGCUUACCUGUUUUUGGACAAAGAGUGUGGUCCACUUCGAUUACUAUUGGUAUUGAUGAUCUUUCUUGGUGUUAAUGAAUUCAUUUCACCAAAAUCUUUUUUAUAGACCUGAUAAUGUUAAAAUCGAAGAUUCAGUGUGUCUAUGAAGUUUUUGUUCUUUCUCUCUCUCUCUCCUUAUUGUUAUUUGCACAACACAUUUAAUUUUUUUUAAAAUGUUAUAUGUUUUUCUUAAGAAGAACUAUGAAUGUCGUGUUUUCAACUGCGAUAUAUAUCAAUUGUGUUAUUUCAUCAAUUAUUUUUCAAGUCAUGUUAUUUUUUUAUUUUUUUAUUAUGACAUGUAUUAAAUGUGCUAUUUCAUUAAUAGUUUUUUUUUCAAAUGUGUUAUUUUACUAUUUGUUUUUUUAAAAAAAAAACUAUGUUAAUUAUUGAGUGUUUGUUUUUUUAUUACAGUCUGUUUUUAAAAUUGCUUUUCGUAAAAAAAAACAUUAAAUUAAUGCUUUUUAGUGAGAAUUAAUAAUUUUUUUUCAACAAGAACUACGAUGUGUAUCAAAUGUGCUAUUUCAUUAAUAUAUAUAUUUUUUUCAAAAUGUGUUAUUUUACUAUUUGUUUUCUUUUAAAAAACUAUGUUAAUUAGUGAAUGUUUGUUUUUGCAUUACAAUUUAUUUUUAAAAUUGAUUUUUGCAAAAAAAAAAGCAUUAAAUUAUUUCUUUUAAAUUUUUUUGGAUGGUUUUGUAUGUUGAUAUAAAUAAUAAAUAAAUAAAAUUAUUUUAAAAUAUUUUCAAUUAAAAAACACUACACAACGUAAUAUCAAAUACACAAUUAAUUUAUAUUAUAAUUAAUGUUCGCAUCCGCCCAAUUCUCUUUGUGGACACAUAAAAUAUAUUCUAUUAAUGCAUGUAAAGUUAAUGAAUACAGUUACAAAAUGGUUUUCUCAAAAUUAUAAAAACAUGCCCCAUGGUUCAAUUAUAAAGCAUAUCUACUUUUCUGGCGCUGCUCUACGACAAUCAACGUUUUUCAAGGAAAACAUCGUGAAAUCUAGGGUUAAGACUAAGAAAGAAGAUGCAAGGUACAACAAUCAGAUUAGCGAGAAGAACAAGCAUCAAAGUUCUGGAUGGAGAAUUAUCGUAUUGUAAUAAGAAGUUCCAGUUUUCCAGACUGCAACAGUAGAAAUGACAAGGACACCUGCUAAGAAGGCCAGUAAUCUGUCGUCAAUGAAGAAAUUCAUGGAUAGUGGCAGCGAGAUUUAGCAUGAAGCGUUUAGCUUGUUUUCUCUAUUGUAAUUCAUGUCGCUAGAGCUAAUAGAAUUGCACUUGCACCUGCUGUUCUUGCCAGCAUUUAUAGAGAUAUGACUAUGUUGAAAGGGAAAAUAGCUGAGUCAACCUUGUUGGGGACUCCAAAGGGAAUACAUGAUGGUUUAACAGCUAAGCUUUGGUCAUCAACUUAAUGAGUUCAGGUUUGGGUUUGGAAGAGGUUCGAUGAACUGCAGCGGCCGGAGCCUAAUCUGAUGAUGAGUGGGUACCCUAGGUUGGCUCGGUGGAACAUUGAAACAGAAAGUUGAGAAUGUUUCGUUGGGUAUAGACUCGGAUAAAGAGAGUUUUAGCUCUGGAAAACUGGGAUUUCCUCAAGUUUUAUGGAGAAAAAGAAAUGUGGGCGACUGCUGGUUCUAGUUUGAAUGACGAAUUAAUGGCAUUUGCUCGAUGCGUCUGGGUUUCAAUGCUGGGUGGAGUUGGCUGUUCAGAACAGUAUUUACCGCAUAGGGUUGCAAUGCAAUUCGGAACUGACGGAGAUCUUUCAGGGUUGUGUUGGUCAAUGCUCUAAUUAACAGACCUGAGAUUGCAUAGAGCUUCAAGCUUUUGUUGAAGAGCUUGAGCAGAUGAUCACACGAAUAAAAGCAGCAAGAUUAAGACUAAAAUUGUUAACCUAGCUAGCCUUCUUCGUGAGAAUGAUUUGCUUGAUUUUAUUUUAUUUGAAUUCAUGGCUUCUCGUCUUCUGUUGGCUAUGCUACUAGCAUGGUAGUAGGCAUCGCAGCAGGUUCCUAUAUAGAUAACUCCCACCAUUGACGACAGAUGCAAAACAAGGUUAAAAGGAUAAUAGAAAUAAAUAUAUUCAUAUAGUAACCAUGCACUAUGGCGUGCAGACAAAUGCCGUGUGCUGCUGGACCCAACACACAGUCUACAAGGCGCCAUCUGUUCUGCCCAUCCAAUCAUGACAAGAUAAGCACUUGAGAGUUUAUUUGAUUUUAUCCGGUUGAUUUGAAGUGUGUGUUUUGAUAUAUAAAUUUUUUAAGGAAGAGAUAUUUUUCUUUAAUAUUUAGAACAAUGAUAUUUGUAGUUUAACUCCCUAAAUAUAUGAUUUGUAUUUUUGUUUAAUAAUUUUAUGUUUUAAAAAUAUCUUUUAUUUGUUUAUAUAAUAAUUAAAAUAAAGGCAAUAGAAACCAGUAGAAUUCAGCAUAUUUAAUUGUGAUGUUUGAUUCAUAUUGUGAUAAUAUUAUAAAUAAUAAAUUCAAAUAAAUUAUGAUGAUUAAAUCAAAAUUUAAUUAAAUAUUAAAAAAAAUUAAUAUUAAAAUGAUGAUAUAUUAAAUUAACUUGAAUUUUAUUAUUUAAAUUGUAAAACCCACAAUUUAAAUCAUGAGCUUAACUUAAAUGUUUUUUUUGAAAAUAAGAUUGUUACGAUGAUCAAGUACAAACAAAAAUAAUAAUUCAAGAUUUUUAUUAAAAGUAGAAUCCGUUAUACAUGUUUAUCAUUGAGUUAUAACCGGUCCGUAUAUGAAAAGGAAUGAAUUUGGGAUAGUUAUUAAACCCGGUUAACCCGGUGGCUGGACUGGUCUAGGUUUGUUAAAAGACUGGCCGGUGCAAUGACUCGGCAAAACUCGGUUGACCCAUGAUCCGGGCGAGACCUGAUGUUUUUUUUUCAAAUGUGGUUUUUCUUUUAUAUUUCUUUUUUUUUCAUAUUUUUUUAGUUGGUUAUUAACACUUUUUAAAGUUUCCUAUAGAAAAAUGUUAUUUUUUUGUUGUGGGAUUUCAAACCCUUUCAUAUAUAUACUUUAUGUUCACAAGAAAAAAAAUGUUGUUUUUUUAAUGUGGGAUUUGAAAUCCUUUAGUAUAUAUACUCUAUGUUCCCAAGCAAAAGGUUAUUUUUUCAAUAUGAGAUUUGAAACCCUUUAGCAUAUAUAUUCUAUGUUUCAAAAAAAAAGUUGUUUUUUCAAUAUGAGAUUUGAAAUCUUUUCAUAUAUAUAUAUUUUAUGUUCAUAAGAAAAAUAUUUUGUUUUUUCAAAGUGGGAUAACAAACUUUUUAGUUUAAAUACUUUAACUUAAAAGAAUGACAUAAUAUCUUUUCAAUGUGAAAUUUGAAACUCUUUAAUAUAUAUACUCCAGGUUCCCAAGAAAAAAAUUAUUUUUUCAAUGUGAGAUUUGAAAUCCUUUCGUAUAUAUAUUCUAUAUGCAUAAGAAAAAAAUUAUAUUUUUUUAAUGUAGGAUAAAUUUUUUUUUAAUUUAAAAAAAUAAUAUAAUAUUUUUUUAAUAUGAGAUAAAAAUUUCUUAAAAUAUUCUAUUAAAUCGAAAAGUAGCUACUAAAACUAGUAACUGUUUCUUUACUUUUAUAUAUAUAUAGGCAGGCCCACGAGGAAUGGACUGGUCCAAAUUUCUGGCGUUAUCGUGCGAUUACACGCGAGAAAUCUACCAAGCCCGAGCGGGCGGAAAACUUUUGAUACCAUCGUAGAUUGAUUACAGAUCUGAAUCCUCUGUAUAAAUUAACUGAUAUUGUGAAGAACCCUUGUCAUUGUAAACACAACUUUUCAAAAUUAUAAAGCAUCUACUUUUCUGGCGCUGCUCUUCGACAACCAGCUUUUUUCAAGGAAAACAUGGUGAAAUCUAGGGUUAAGAUUAAAAAAGAAGAUGCAAGGGAAGAUGAAGAUGAAGAUGAAGUACAACAAUCAGAUUAGCGAGAAGAACAAGCAUCAAAUUUCUGGAUGGAGAAUUAUCGUAUUGUAAUGAGAAGUUCCAGUUUUCCAGACUGCAACUGUAGAAAUGACAAGGACACCUGCUAAGAAGGCCAGUAAUCUGUCGUGAAUGAGGAAAUUCAUGGAUAGUGGCAGCGAGAUUUAGCAUGAAGCAUUUAACUUGUUUUCUCUAUUGUAAUUCAUGUCGCUAGAGCUAAUAGAAUUGCACUUGCACCUGCUGACUGCUGUUCUUUCCAGCAUUUAUAGAGAUAUGACUUGGUUGAAAAGGGAAAAUCGCAGAGUCAACCUUGUUGGGGGUUCCAUAGGGAAAAUAUGAUGGUUUAACAGUUAAGAUUUGGUCGUCAAUGCAAUUAGUUGAGGUUCGGGUUUGGAAGAGGUUAAAAAAACUGCAGCGGCCGGAGCCUAAUCUGAUGAAGAGUGGGUACCCUAGGUUGGCUGGGUGGGAUAAAUUGAAACAGGAUGUUGAGAAUGUUUCGUUGGUUCUAGACUCGGAUAAAGAGAGUUUUAGCUCUGGAAAACUGGGAUUUCCUCAAGUUUUAUGGAGAAAAAGAAAUGUGGGCGACUGUUGGUUCUUGUUUGAAUGACGAAUUAAUGGCUCGAUGCGUCUGGGUUUCAAUGCUGGGUGGAGGUGGCUGUUCAGAACAGUAUUUACCGCAUAGGGUUGCAAUGCAAUUCGGAACUGACGAAGAUCUUCAGGGUUGUGUUGGUCAAUGCUCUAAGUAACAGACCUGAGAUUGCAUAGAGCUUGAAGCUUUUGUUGAAGAGCUUGAGCAGAUGAUCACACGAAUAAAAGCAGCAAGAUUAAGACUAAAUUGUUAACCUAGCUAGCCUUCUUCGUGAGAAUGAUUUGCUUGAUUUUAUUUGCUUUGCUAGUUAUAUUAGUAACUCAAGUUUGACAAAUGAAGCAGAUGAAAGUGUUUGGGCUUUAGCUUUUCAUGACCGGGAGAUUGAAUUCCUGGCUUCUCUUCUUCUGUUUGCUAUGCUUACUAACAUGGUAGUGGAGCUUUGGACUGUCAGGCAUGGCGUCACUAUGAAACCCCCCCCCCCCCCAAUGAAGUUGAAUAUGACUCCUCGGAAGCUCUUCGAUGCCAGUCUUCACAUCUUAUUGUAUUCGCUUCUAACUUGUUUGGUGUCUUUUCAGAAUGGAUCUUGAGAAGGUUAAAAGGAUAAAAGAAAUAAAUAUAGCAACCAUUGCAGCAUGGCAUGAAGUUAUCACAGUGUGCAGACAAAUGAGGUGUGCUGGACCCAACGCAGAGUCUACUAGGCGUUUUCUGUUCUGCCCACCGAUUCUGACAAGAUUUGAUUUGACUUGAUUUGAAGUUUUGUAUUUUGAUAUAAUUUUUUUUAAAAGAGAUAUUUUUUUAAAAUAUUAAAAUUAAUUUAAUAUUUAUAGUUUAACCUUUCAAAAAAAUUGUUAGUGGUAUCUUCAACAGUUUAACAAUUUUAUUUUUUUAAAUAUAUAAUAAUAAAAAUAAAAAUUUAUAAAAUUAAACAUUAACUAAAUAUUAUAAUAUUUAAUUGAAACUAUAAUAAUUUUAUAAAAACAUUAUAAUAACAAAAAAUAAUAAAGAUUAUUAUGAUAAACCAUCACCGUAAUAUUUUUCAAUUCUAAAGAGAGUAAUAUAUAAUUCUGGAAUGGAUAAUAUAAAAAUAACAACAAUAAUUGAAGAUUUUUACUACAACUAAAUUUAUUAUUGGUUAUUAAAUUAGAUCUGUUUUACCUAUAAAAAAUAAAUUUAAAUAUUUAUAAAAAUUAUUAAAAAAAAUAAUUGUUUAUAUAUAUAUAUAUAGGCCCACGAGGGAUGGGCUGGUCCAAAAGUAUAUUUAAUUUGGAGAUGUAAUGAUUUUUUUUUAAUAGUACAAUAUCUUUUAAAUAUAAAUCACAUCUUUAAAAUAAAAAUAAAAAUAAAAUAUUAAAGCGACCUCCCAUUUAAAUAAACAUUAAAUUUGCGUUAUCGUGCGAUUCCACGCGAAAAUCUACCAAGCUCGCGCGGACGGAAGACGUGAUAUUGAUUACAGAUCCGACUCUGUAUAAAUUAAGUGCUAAUGUGAAGAGCCCUAGUCAUUGUAAACACAACUUUCAAUUUCAAUAGAAAGGAGGAAGUCAGUCAAUACGGGUGUCUGCGGCUAUGGAUUCGAUCAAGCCUUUAGCCCCGAGCCGCAGGGUUUCCAAGUCCAAACACAGGAAACAAUGGGUACGAAUCAAAUCUAGUUAUAUUUCUAUGUUUUUCUUAAAAAGAGUAUUCUUAAUGGUUGUUUGUUGUUUCUUGACUGGUUGUUGCUAUAUAUCAUGUCCUUAUUCCCAGAAAUUAAAAAUAAUUAUUAUUCUUAUAUAUAUAUAUUAAGAAGAACAGAGAGAGGAGGGAAACGAUGGAACGAUUGAAAACAGAUAUGGUAGAGAUCGGCGAGGGACAAAAACGCAUAAGAGAAGGGCAACGAGAAAUAAGACAAAAGUUUGAAGAGAUAGGAUCUGAAUGCCGCAGGCUCAAAGAGGAGACGAUGAACAUAGCCAAGCAGAGUGAUUACAACCAAACCAGGAUCAACCUAAUGUUUAGCAUCUUGAAAGCCCGUGAAGACAACAACUUUGCCCAUGCUGAUCACCUGACUGGGCUCCUCCGGUUGGUUAAAUUCCCUUCGCCAUUUCUUUUCUUAAUUAUUGGGAUAUCGGAUUUCAUAAUUAAUCUUGCUAAUGCUAGCUAUCGAGGGAAACACAAGUUAACGAACUCAAAAUAAAAGAAUCAAGAUGCACUGUUGAUAAUUAAUUUUCUCUCCAUCGCUUUGUUUCCUAUUCGUUGUGUUGCCAGC